UACGGAGGGUGCAAGCGUUAUCCGGAUUCACUGGGUUUAAAGGGUGCGUAGGUGGGCUGGUAAGUCCGUGGUGAAAUCUCCAAGCUUAACUUGGAAACUGCCGUGGAUACUAUUAGUCUUGAAUACUUUGGAGGUAAGCGGAAUAUGUCAUGUAGCGGUGAAAUGCUUAGAUAUGACAUAGAACACCAAUUGCGCAGGCAGCUUACUACACAAUAAUUGACACUGAGGCACGAAAGCGUGGGGAUCAAACAGG
rnacentral:rRNA from 1 species